rnacentral:rRNA from 1 species
CGGAGGUCACUGCUAUCGGGGUUCGAUUAAGCCAUGCGAGUCGAGAGGGUUCAGACCCUCGGCGGACUGCUCAGUAACACGUGGAUAAUCUGCCCUAUGGUGGAGGAUAACCCCGGGAAACUGGGGAUAAUACUCCAUAAGUCAGGAGUACUGGAAUGUCUCCUAACUGAAAGUUGCGGCGCCAUAGGAUGAAUCUGCGGCCGAUUAGGUAGUUGUUGGGGUAACGGCCCAACAAGCCUGUAAUCGGUACGGGUUGUGGGAGCAAGAGCCCGGAGAUGGAAUCUGAGACACGAUUCUUCCAGGCCCUACGGGGCGCAGCAGGCGCGAAAACUUUACAAUGCAGGAAACUGUGAUAAGGGAACCCCGAGUGCCCGUAAACGCGGGCUGUCCCGGUGUUUAAAACACAUCGGAAGAAAGGGCCGGGCAAGACCGGUGCCAGCCGCCGCGGUAAUACCGGCGGCUCGAGUGGUGACCACUUUUAUUGGGCUUAAAGCGUUCGUAGCUUGAUUUUUAAGUCUCUUGGGAAAUCUCACGGCUUAACUGUGAGGCGUCUAAGAGAUACUGGGAAUCUAGGGACCGGGAGAGGUAAGAGGUACUUCAGGGGUAGAAGUGAAAUUCUGUAAUCCUUGAGGGACCACCGAUGGCGAAGGCAUCUUACCAGAACGGCUUCGACAGUGAGGAACGAAAGCUGGGGGAGCGAACGGGAUUAGAUACCCCGGUAGUCCCAGCCGUAAACUA